AAAUUUUUUUGGCAGAACAGUUAUUAAGAUAUCAAGCCAUUGGUUUAUAAAGAAAUGGUGGUAAUCCUAUCCUACUAUAUUAUUUGAGAAGUACAUUUUAAAUAUAACCUUAAUUUUUGUAAGUAAUUACAUAUGUAUGCCAUUAGAAAUAAAAUUUUAAAGAGUAAAUUAAUUUAUCUCUUUAAGGAUUAAAAAGUCAAAUACUAAUUUAAUUAAUUAAAUUUAAUUAAAAAACAAAAUACAUUAUUAAUUUUCAAAAAUAAUAACCAAUCAAAAUCAACAAAUAAGAUUUGAUAUCUAAAUUUUAAUUAAUUAAAUUUAAUUAAAAAAACA
rnacentral:sRNA from 1 species